UAUUCUGUGGCUCAGGUGGUUAAAGCGCCGGUCUAGCGUUACGGAGUCGUGGGUUCAAAUCCCACCUAAACAA
rnacentral:tRNA from 1 species